rnacentral:rRNA from 1 species
AUUGAACGCUGGCGGCAGGCCUAACACAUGCAAGUCGAGCGAGCGGCGGACGGGUGAGUAAUGUAUGGGGACUGCCCGCUAGAGGGGGAUAACUACUGGAAGAGGUGGCGAAUAACGCAUACUAUCGGAUAACCCAUAUGGGAUGAGCUAGUUGGUGGGGUAAUGUCUCACCAAGGCGACGAUCCCUAGCUGGUCUGAGAGGAUGAUCAGCCACACUGGGACUGAGAAACGUCCCAGACUCCUACGGAGGCAGCAGUGGGGAAUAGUGCACAAGGGGCGCAAGCCUGAUGCAGCCAUGCCGCGUGUAUGAAGAAGGCCCUAGGGUUGUAAAGUACGUUCAGUCGGGAGGCGUUACCGACAGAAGAAGCACCGGCUAACUCCGUGCCAGCAGCCGCGGUAAUUC